GGGUACAUGGUCUAGUGGUAUGAUUUCUGUUUUGCAUUGACUCGGCCUCCUUGAUGAGACCAGUGAAGGACAAUCGUUACAGACGGUCCCGCGUUCGAUCCGCGGUGUAUCCA